CAGGACGUGGCUGAGCUAGUUAAGCAUCUCACUUACACCGAGAAGACACUCAUGCAAAUUGAGUCGCCCUGA
rnacentral:tRNA from 1 species